rnacentral:rRNA from 1 species
AGAGUUUGAUCAUGGCUCAGAACGAACGUUGGCGGCGUGGAUUAGGCAUGCAAGUCGAACGAGAAAGUUUCCUUCGGGAAGCGAGUACAGUGGCGAACGGGAGAGUAACGCGUGGGGAACCUGCCCUUCAGCGGGGGACAACACCUCUAACGAGGUGCUAAUACCGCAUACGAUCCGGAUACCGCAUGGUGCCCGGAUGAAAGAUGGCCUCUACAUGUAAGCUGUCACUGAAGGAUGGUCCCGCGUCCCAUUAGCUUGUUGGUGGGGUAACGGCCUACCAAGGCGACGAUGGGUAGCCGGCCUGAGAGGGUGUCCGGCCUCACUGGGACUGAGAUACGGCCCAGACUCCUACGGGAGGCAGCAGUCGAGAAGCUUCGGCAAUGGACGAAAGUCUGACCGAGCGACGCCGCGUGAGCGAUGAAGGCCUUAGGGUCGUAAAGCUCUGUCAGGAGGGAAUAAAUACCCGCGGUUAAUACCUGCGGGGGCUGAAGGUACCUCCAGAGGAAGCGCCGGCUAGCUACGUGCCAGCAGCCGCGGUAAUACGUAGGGCGCAAACGUUGUUCGGAUUAACUGGGUAUAAAGGGUUCGUAGGCGGGCUGGUAAGUCAGAGGUGAAAGCCAACGGCUCAACCGUUGAAUUGCCUCUGAUACUGCUAGUCUUGAGUCCGUUAGGGGGUGGUGGAAUUCCUGGUGUAGCGGUGAAAUGCGUAAAUAUCAGGAGGAACACCAGUGGCGAAAGCGGCCACCUGGGACGGUACUGACGCUGAGGAACGAAAGCAUGGGUAUCAAACGGGAUUAGAUACCCCGGUAGUCCAUGCCGUAACGAUGGGCACUAGGUGUCGGAGGAGCUUACCCCUUCGGUGCCGCAGCUACGCAUUAGUGCCCACCUGGGGAGUACGAUCGCAAGGUGAAACUCAAGGAAUUGACGGGGGCCCGCACAAGCGGUGGA